rnacentral:lncRNA from 1 species
UAUAUGUUUGGUUAUGAGUUGGAAACCAGUAAACGUGCGUUUCAAAGACAAAACGUGAGUUUUUUCUUUUAGAAUGGUGUUUGGGUGGUUGAUUUAAAAUCAAUUCCAAGGACUCAGACGCGAUUCAAAGUGAAGCUAGUUUUCCUAGCUUCUGCGUUGAUGGAAAAUUGAUUCUUGUUGGUGACUCAUUUAAUAUUUGAUGACAGAUAUAAUAUUCCUUUAUUGUCCUUCAACAACCUCUAUAUUU